CCAAUUUUCUAUUGCCUCUUUUGUAACGAAAGGGGCUAUACCUAGGUAAAUUGUUGAACUUGUGCUGUGAGGAAAUUUGGGCUGCAGUAUGCAAUGUACUACAUGCCCAUUACUACCUUGCACGUUAAACAACUUUAGACAUACUACUCCAACUUACUACAAAACAAAUGAAACCUUAUAGGACUCAUUACGGUUGAGUGGGUAAAACCCUCGGCUUAAACACAAAAUAACAAUAAUA
rnacentral:misc_RNA from 1 species